rnacentral:rRNA from 1 species
AUUGAACGCUGGCGGCAGGCCUAACACAUGCAAGUCGAGCGGAUGAAGGGAGCUUGCUCCUGGAUUCAGCGGCGGACGGGUGAGUAAUGCCUAGGAAUCUGCCUGGUAGUGGGGGAUAACGUCCGGAAACGGGCGCUAAUACCGCAUACGUCCUGAGGGAGAAAGUGGGGGAUCUUCGGACCUCACGCUAUCAGAUGAGCCUAGGUCGGAUUAGCUAGUUGGUGGGGUAAAGGCCUUCCAAGGCGACGAUCCGUAACUGGUCUGAGAGGAUGAUCAGUCACACUGGAACUGAGACACGGUCCAGACUCCUACGGGAGGCAGCAGUGGGGAAUAUUGGACAAUGGGCGAAAGCCUGAUCCAGCCAUGCCGCGUGUGUGAAGAAGGUCUUCGGAUUGUAAAGCACUUUAAGUUGGGAGGAAGGGCAGUAAGUUAAUACCUUGCUGUUUUGACGUUACCAACAGAAUAAGCACCGGCUAACUUCGUG